GAUGAACGCUGGCGGCGUGCCUAAUACAUGCAAGUCGAACGCGAGCAGCAAUGCUCGAGUGGCGAACGGGUGAGUAAUACAUAAGUAACCUGCCUAGACAGGGUAUAACUGCUGGAAACGGCAGCUAAGACCGCAUAGGUAUGGACACUGCAUGGUGACCAUAUUAAAACGUGCCAAGGCACUGGUAGAGGAUGGACUUAUGGCGCAUUAGCUGGUUGGUGGUUAACGGCUCACCAAGGCGACGAUCAGUAGCCGACCUGAGAGGGUUGACCGGCCACAUUGGGACUGAGACACGGCCGAG
rnacentral:rRNA from 1 species